rnacentral:rRNA from 1 species
AUUGAACGCUGGCGGCAGGCCUAACACAUGCAAGUCGAGCGAGCGGCGGACGGGUGAGUAAUGUAUGGGGACUGCCCGAUAGAGGGGGAUAACUACUGGAAACGGUAGCUAAUACCGCAUACUAUCGGAUAACCCAUAUGGGAUGAGCUAGUAGGUGAGGUAAUGGCUCACCUAGGCGACGAUCCCUAGCUGGCCUUAGAGGAUGAUCAGCCAAACUGGGACGAGGAGACGGCCCGGACUCCUACGGAGGCAGCAGGGUGAAAUUUUGCACAAGGAGCGCAAGCAUGAUGCAGCAAAGCCGCGUGUAUGAGGAAGGCCCUAGGGUUGAAAAGUACUUUAAGUCGGGAGGCGUUACCGACAGAAGAAGCACCGGCUAACUCCGUGCCAGCAGCCGCGGUAAUUC